UGGGGAAUAUUGGACACUGGGGGGAACCCUGAUCCAGCCAUGCCGCGUGUGUGAAGAAGGCCUUAUGGUUGUAAAGCACUUUAAGCGAGGAGGAGGGUACUGGUAUUAAUACUACCAGGUACUGGACGUUACUCGCAGAAUAAGCACCGGCUAACUCUGUGCCAGCAGCCGCGGUAAUACAGAGGGUGCGAGCGUUAAUCGGAUUUACUGGGCGUAAAGCGUGCGUAGGCGGCUAAUUGAGUCGGAUGUGAAAUCCCCGAGCUUAACUUGGGAAUUGCAUUCGAUACUGGUUAGCUAGAGUGUGGGAGAGGAUGGUAGAAUUCCAGGUGUAGCGGUGAAAUGCGUAGAUUUCUGGAGGAAUACCGAUGGCGAAGGCAGCCAUCUGGCCUAACACUGACGCUGAGGUACGAAAGCAUGGGGAGCAAACAGG
rnacentral:rRNA from 1 species